GUAGUGGGGGAUAGCUCGGGGAAACUCGAAUUAAUACCGCAUACGACCUACGGGAGAAAGGGGGCAACUUGUUGCUCUCGCUAUUAGAUGAGCCUAAGUCGGAUUAGCUAGAUGGUGGGGUAAAGGCCUACCAUGGCGACGAUCUGUAGCUGGUCUGAGAGGAUGAUCAGCCACACCGGGACUGAGACACGGCCCGGACUCCUACGGGAGGCAGCAGUGGGGAAUAUUGGACAAUGGGGGAAACCCUGAUCCAGCCAUGCCGCGUGUGUGAAGAAGGCCUUUUGGUUGUAAAGCACUUUAAGCAGUGAAGAAGACUCCAUGGUUAAUACCCAUGGACGAUGACAUUAGCUGCAGAAUAAGCACCGGCUAACUCUGUGCCAGCAGCCGCGGUAAUACAGAGGGUGCAAGCGUUAAUCGGAAUUACUGGGCGUAAAGGGAGCGUAGGUGGCUCGAUAAGUCAGAUGUGAAAUCCCCGGGCUCAACCUGGGAACUGCAUCUGAUACUGUUGAGCUAGAGUAUGUGAGAGGAAGGUAGAAUUCCAGGUGUAGCGGUGAAAUGCGUAGAGAUCUGGAGGAAUACCGAUGGCGAAGGCAGCCUUCUGGCAUAAUACUGACACUGAGGCUCGAAAGCGUGGGUAGCAAACAGGAUUAGAUACCUUGGUAGUCCACGCCGUAAACGAUGUCUACUAGUCGUUGGGUCCCUUGAGGACUUAGUGACGCAGCUAACGCAAUAAGUAGACCGCCUGGGGAGUACGGCCGCAAGGUUAAAACUCAAAUGAAUUGACGGGGGGCCGCACAAGCGGUGGAGCAUGUGGUUUAAUUCGAUGCAACGCGAAGACCCUUACCUGGUCUUGACAUAUCUAGAAUCCUGCAGAGAUGCGGGAGUGCCUUCGGGAAUUAGAAUACAGGUGCUGCAUGGCUGUCGUCAGCUCGUGUCGUGAGAUGUUGGGUUAAGUCCCGCAACGAGCGCAACCCUCGUCCUUAGUUUCCAGCGGGUUAAGCCGGGAACUCUAAGGAUACUACCAGUGACAAACUGGAGGAGG
rnacentral:rRNA from 1 species